rnacentral:lncRNA from 1 species
GAAAGUGAAAGGGGAAAAGCAGUGGUCAGCAGGCAUAUGAACAGAUUAUCAGCCAAUCUCAUAGCUCUGAGAUGGUGCAAAACUAAGAUGUCAUCUCUUCCCUUUCAUUUAUUUGUAUUCUUUCUUGUUUUGUAGUGGAACUGUUUAAGGCCUAGAAUUUUUCCCUGAGUGUAAGCUAACCAAGUGUUAUGGAUUAUGAUACAUACUUUUUUUUAAAGUACUACUUUGUAAGUAUUGCACAAAUUUGAUUUUGAGUCCCUCUUUGGGGCCAGAUCUGCUUAUUGUACAAGAGAAAGUUAAAUGUCUUUUGAUGUUUGCGUUUUUCUGUUUGUUAAUUUUCCUUUAUUUCUCAUUAAUACAGUGUAAUCUGAAAAUGUUACCUGAACUAUUUCUACUUUAUAGAAUUUUUUUUGAAGUUUCAUUUGGGGCUUUAUCUAUAAUCAAAUUACCUGAGGAGCAUGUGAAAGCUCAGAUUCCUGGGUGUUGCUCCGGACUUGCUAACAUAGAAGCUUCUGGAUGGCAGUUUUAGGCACAUCACAGACAAUUCCGGUGCACGGUGCAUUUUCAAGGCCACUGUCUAUGUUCUUACUGAAUUUUUCUCUACUUGAUCUGUCAGUAGCUGACAAGUGAGUUAAUGUCUCCUACGGCUGUUGUAUUUCCAUGUCUCCCUGUGUUUCCUUCAGUUUUUGCUUUAUAAAUUUUGAUAAUAGAUUAUUUGGAAUGUGGAGAUUCAUGAUCAUUUUGUAUACCCUAAAUAUACAUAGUGUUUACUUUUUUUUUUUUAGAUGAAGUCUCGCUCUGUUGCCGAGGUUGGAGUGCAGUGGCG